rnacentral:rRNA from 1 species
UACGGAGGGUGCAAGCGUUAUCCGGAUUUACUGGGUUUAAAGGGUGCGCAGGCGGAUAUGUAAGUCAGUGGUGAAAUCUCUAGGCUUAACCUGGAAAUUGCCGUUGAUACUAUAUAUCUUGAAUGCUGUGGAGGUAAGCGGAAUAUGUCAUGUAGCGGUGAAAUGCUUAGAUAUGACAUAGAACACCGAUUGCGAAGGCAGCUUACUACACGAUCAUUGACGCUGAGGCACGAAAGCGUGGGGAGCAAACAGG